rnacentral:rRNA from 1 species
AGAGUUUGAUCAUGGCUCAGGAUGAACGCUAGCUACAGGCUUAACACAUGCAAGUCGAGGGGAAACGACAUCGAAAGCUUGCUUUUGAUGGGCGUCGACCGGCGCACGGGUGAGUAACGCGUAUCCAACCUGCCCACCACUUGGGGAUAACCUUGCGAAAGUAAGACUAAUACCCAAUGACGUCUCUAGAAGACAUCUGAAGGAGAUUAAAGAUUUAUCGGUGAUGGAUGGGGAUGCGUCUGAUUAGCUUGUUGGGCGGGGUAACGGCCCACCAAGGCGACGAUCGAGUAGGGGUUCUGAGAGGAAGGUCCCCCANAUUGGAACUGAGACACGGUCCAACUCCUACGGGAGCA